rnacentral:tRNA from 1 species
GGGGAUAUAACUGUUAGUAGAGUGCUUGCCUCACAUGCAAAAGGUCCUGGGGUUCAAUCCCCAGCACCCCCC